UCUCUUUUUAAUCAUACUUUACCUGCCAAAUUGCGUGGGCUCACAUGGAGGCUGUACCUGUCCGACAGGAAUGAAAGGUUGGAGUACCUUUCCCAAAUGCUGGCACAUAGGGCUGCAUCCUGGAAGGACAGAGAGAUCUCUUUGAGGUGCCGGACCCUUCUGGAUUCUGAGCCAGCAUUCCAGGCCCUGAAAGAUAGCAAAGUUGCAGCCAGAUGCUUGAGGAACGUACUCUCGUAUUACCACAAACUCCAGGGCACAUCCGCUCCUCUGCGUGAGCAAGAUUACUUCCUACCAGUGCCUCUACUGCAAACCAU